rnacentral:rRNA from 1 species
UAAGCAUAUAACUAAGCGGAGGAAAAGAAACUAACCAGGAUUCCCUCAGUAACGGCGAGUGAAGUGGGAAGAGCUCAUGUUUGAAAUCCAGCUCCCCGCGGGGCUGGAGUUGUAACCUAGAGGAGCGUGAUCGCCUGCCGGCAGGGCCGCGGCCAAGUCCGAUUUGAAAAGGGUACCGAGGAGGGUGGCAGUCCCGUUCGUGCCGCAGUCCCGCCGGCGAUGUGGCCCGCUUCCAACGAGUCGAGUUGCUUGGGAUUGCAGCUCAAAGUGGGUGGUAAACUCCAUCCAAAGCUAAACACGGGUGGGAGACCGAUAGCGAACAAGUACCGUGAGGGAAAGAUGCAAAGAACUUUGAAAAGAGAGUCAAAGAGUGCCUGAAAUUGCUGAGAGGGAAGCGAAGGAAAGUAGUGUCAGUCGAGGGGACCUCGCACACUUGGGGAGCGACGUUCCGCGUCGUUCCCCAGGUUAUGUCCCCCGCGGUGUCAGGGGCGGGUGCGUUGCCGGAGGCGGCGGCCCAGGGUAUAGGUUCUCCGAGGUAAGAGCCGGAGGAAUGCCGCAACUGGGAUCCGCGUCCUGGUCGCGGCCGUCCCUGACGAAAUGUUUUUCUUUACCCCGUCUUGAAACACGGACCAAGGAGUCUAACAUGCCCGCGAGUACAGGGGUGGCUGAGACCCCCGUGCGCAGUGAAAGUGAACGCAGGUGGCAGGGCGGGAGCCUUCUCGGUCUCCGGCCCGCACCAUCGACCGACCGCGGCACCAAGGGGUCGAGGUUUGAGUGUGAGCGUGUAUGUUGGGACCCGAAAGAUGGUGAACUAUGCCUGAGUAGGGCGAAGCCAGGGGAAACUCUGGUGGAGGCUCGUAGCGAUUCUGACGUGCAAAUCGAUCGUGGGAUUUGGGUAUAGGGGCGAAAGACUAAUCGAACCAUCUAGUAGCUGGUUCCCUCCGAAAUUUCCCUCAGGAUAGCUGCAACCAGUUUGUGACCAGUUUUAUCAGGUAAAGCGAAUGAUUAGAGGCUGCGGGGGAGUAACUCCCUCGCCCUAUUCUCAAACUUUAAAUGGGUAAGCCACCGGGGUCGCUUAAUUGGACUCGAGGUUUGGGUUGAAUGAUGGUUGUUAGUGGGCCAGUCCGGGUAAGCUGGACUGGCGAUGCGGGAUGAACCGAACGCCUAGUUAAAGCGCCUCACUGCCCGCUCACCUAGACCCCACAAAAGGUGUUGGUUCAUUUUGACAGCAGGACGGUGGCCAUGGAAGUCGGAACCCGCUAAGGAGUGUGUACAAC